ACCCGCUGAACUUAAGCAUAUCAAUAAGCGGAGGAAAAGAAACUAACAAGGAUUCCCCUAGUAACGGCGAGUGAAGCGGGAUGAGCUCAAAUUUGAAAUCUGGCUGGCUUUGUCAGUCCCAGUAGUAGUUUAAAGAGGCGUUUUCGGUGGCAGCCUGGGUACAAAUCCUUUGGAACAGGGUAUCAUAGAGGGUGAGAAUCCCGUCUCUGACUCGGUGGCCUGCUACUAUGUGAUAGGUCUUCAAAGAGUCGAGUUGUUUGGGAAUGCAGCUCAAAAUGGGUGGUAAAUCUCAUCUAAGGCUAAAUACCGGCGAGAGACCAAUAGCGAACAAGUACCGUGACGGAAAGAUGAAAAGAACUUUGAAAAGAGAGUUAAACAGUGCGUGAAAUUGUUGAAAGGGAAACGUUUGACACCAGUUUUGCGGGUGGUAAAUCAGUCGCUUUUCAGUGGAGAGUGGCAAGGGUUCAGACCGCAAGGCUGGCCUUUGUCUCAUCUUUGUUGCGGGCGAUGCACUUUUUCAUUUGCAGGUCAACAUCAGUUUCCUCCAAUGGACAAAACCUCGAGAGAAUGUAGCAGCUUUGGCUGUGUGAUAUCUCUGGGGCGAUACAGUGGUGGGGACUGAGGUUUUCGCAGUGUGUGCUCUCGGGCAAGGCUGACUGGCUGCUACGGAAUGGUUCGGCGCUCAAUGCUUGCAUUAUGCGUCGAGUCUGUUCUGUACUCGCUCAGCUCGGUUGUGCCUCGGUGAGGAUGUUGACAUAAUGCAUGUAAACGACCCGUCUUGAAACACGG
rnacentral:rRNA from 1 species